GCUUCAGUAGUGCAGUGGGUUAGAGCACACACUCCUGAAUAGAGUGAGAUGCGGGUUCGAGCCCCGUUUGACCCA